GUUCAACAACACACAUGGGAAGCACAAUGAGAUUAGGAUCCCGGAAGACUUUUUUCCAGACCCCUGAUUGUAUUACUGCUAAAUUGUAUGGUAAUCCCCAGUAUGUAGAUGAACGGCAUCGUCAUAGAUAUGAGGUAAACCCUGACGUAAUUGGAGUUCUAGAAGAAAGAGGUUUAAAGUUUGUUGGGAAGGAUGAAACAAGAAAGAGAAUGGAGAUUUUAGAGCUUCCAAGUCAUCCUUUUUAUAUAGGUGUGCAGUUUCAUCCAGAGUUCAAAUCACGUCCCCGAAGGCCCUCACCUCUAUUUUUAGGUUUCAUAUUGGCAGCGACGGGAAAGUUGGAAGGAUAUCUUAACAAUCACCAGAAUGGGGUUUGAUUUGCAUAAUGCUUCCAAAUCAGCCAUUCGAGUUUGCAGCCAAUAAGGCUCUCUGGGCAGUUCGCAUAGCCUUUGCCCUUUGGCUUUGGUUAGUGUAGGAUGGAUCUUUGUAAUGGAGGAAAAGAUUUUGGUUUUGCUAUAACAUUUAUGUAUUGCUAUUGA
rnacentral:misc_RNA from 1 species